UCGAAGCCUAGAAAGCACGACCGCGAACGAGUUUCAAUCCGGGGGUGGCAACGGGGAGCUCUCGAGCGACUCGCUGUCACCCUCGCUCGGAGGGCGAGCGGCCUCGCGCCACUCUUCCUCCGAACCUAACGAACCCCGGCGCGGCAAGCGCCAAGGAAUCAUUAACGAAGGAACUCGUCCCUUGGGCCCGUUCUCGGGCAUCGAGCGGACGGGUCUGUUCAAAUACAGUCAUAACGACUCUCGGCAACGGAUAUCUCGGCUCUCGCAUCGAUGAAGAACGUAGCGAAAUGCGAUACUUGGUGUGAAUUGCAGAAUCCCGUGAAUCAUCGAGUCUUUGAACGCAAGUUGCGCCCGAAGCCUUUAGGCCGAGGGCACGUCUGCCUGGGCGUCAUGCACUGCGAUGCCCCCCACCGAUCGUGGGAGCGAAGCCUGGCCUCCCGUGAGCCCAACUCGCGGAUGGCUUAAAAGCGAGCCUCGAGACGGCGAUCCGUCGCGACAAGUGGUGGUGAGAGGCCUUCGGCCUUUGAGCUCAACGCGUUGCGCGGUCUCCCCUUCUCAUUUGCUCCAGAGUAACCCCGAGUCGGCGCUUCGGCGUGCCCAGCAUC
rnacentral:misc_RNA from 1 species